rnacentral:lncRNA from 1 species
ACAACCCCAGUUUAUACCAACAACGUCACCCCUAGAGAUCGAACUCCGGCUUGCUAAAGAGCAAAUCAAUGGACAUCUGCAACGCAGUAGAGAGAGAUACUGACUCCGAAUUUAGAUUUUGCUGGAGAAUAUUUUAUUUGGUUCUAUACACAGGACGACCGAAAUGGGAGACCAAAGGCCUCUCGGGGGUUGGUGUAGUGAGACUAGGCGCACAAAAACUCCAUAAAAGGUGAGGCGUCAGCAGCCUAGAGAUCACACCAGAGUUCCCCCAUCAUUCUACUACGCCUCACCGGAAAUCGUAGUUCCCAUCCCUUAGCCAUGGGAUCUGUCCCCGACGAGGCGAGGAUGACUAUCCCGGAGGAGGAGCACGAGGCCUGCACCUACGCCAUGCAGCUGGCCAGCGCUUCCAUUCUCCCGAUGACUCUCAAGGCGGCAAUCGAGCUGAACCUCCUCGAGAUCAUCAGUCGGGCGGGUUCCGCCUCCCAACUCUUCCCCGAAGAGAUUGUCGCCCAGCUUCCCACCGAGAACCCGGAGGCGGCCGUCAUGGUCGACCGUAUCCUCCGCCUCCUCGCCAGUUACUCGAUCCUCACCUGCUCCGUCGUCCACGGCGACGGCGGAAACGUCCGCAGACGCUAUGGCCUGGCCCCUGUCUCAAGGUUCCUCACACCGAACGAGGAUGGCGUCUCCAUGGCUGCCCUAGUGCUCAUGAACCAGGACAAGGUUCUCAUGGAGAGCUGGUAUUACCUGAAGGAAUCGGUUCUGCACGGGGGGAUCCCCUUCAACAAGGCCUACGGUAUGACGGCGUUCGAGUACCACGGGACCGACCCCAGGUUCAACAAGGUGUUCAACGCCGGCAUGUCCAACCACUCCACCAUCACCAUGAAGAAGAUGUUGGAGGUUUACCGGGGGUUCGACGGGCUCGGAGUCCUGGUGGAUGUUGGCGGUGGGAUCGGCGCGACGCUCAACAUGAUCAUCUCCAAGCACCCAUCUAUCAAGGGCAUCAACUUCGAUCUCCCCCACGUCAUCGCCGAUGCGCCCUCCUUCCCAGGUACGACAAAGACCAGCACAGCCCCCAAUUCCUCAAUCCAUUUACAUCCGGGGACUUCGGGUGAAGACGGGGGAAAGGUGGGCAGGCAUUAACGGAAAGAAUUAUCCUCUUGUUGGCCCAGGCGUGGAGCAUGUGGGCGGCGAUAUGUUCGAGAGCGUUCCCAGUGGAGACGCCAUCUUCAUGAAGGUAACCAAUUCUCCCGUCGACCUCCCCUGUUCCUACCUUCCCGGUCUCCUCCAGCGUUUCCUCGAUUAAUCACGCUGUCUCGGAACUGCGUUUGCAGUGGAUCCUUCACGACUGGAGCGACGAGCACUGCCUGAAGGUUCUGAAGAAUUGCUGGAAGGCAUUGCCAGAGCAGGGGAAAGUCAUCGUCAUGGAGGGCAUUCUGCCGGAAGCGCCAGAGACGACCAAGGAGGCACAGAGCCUGUUCCACGUGGACAUGAUCAUGCUCGCUCACAACCCCGGCGGCAAAGAGAGGACUGAAAAGGACUUCCACUCCCUGGCGAAAGGCGCGGGGUUCUCGGGGUUCGCCAAGGUGAGCACCGCCUUCGGUGUAUGGAUCAUGGAGUUCACCAAGUGAGGCAGAGCUUACCUCAUGCAUACGUCAGCCCCGCCGCCCCACGAGAAUUGGGUUCUUGUUCCCACUGGUAUCGGCUCAAUAUAAAAAAAAUUAAAAUCCAUCUUUUGCCCCGGUGUUACCGCCACAGGUGCCCACGUUGACCUUUGUCCCACCAAACUAGUAGCGAACACCCCAAAGACGUCGUAUCAUGAAGUCCAAAGAUCGACCGGCAACGGUUGGUUCGAUCGAACGGUGCCGGGCUCGCAUCAGUGAGAUAAAGGCGACUGAUCUUGGCCCUCCAUGUGGAUAUAAGAAGAGGAAAAGUUAAAACCGAUACUUAAGAUAUUUGUUUGCGCGCAUGAUUCACCUGCAGACAUGCGCACAAAUGAAUAUCGAAGUAUCGGAUUUAGCUUUUCUUAUAUUCAUAUAUCUAGAUAUUUAUCUUAAAGGCACUUCAGAAAAACUAACAUUCAUCAUAUGAACAAUAUUAUUUUUACGUAAAUGAUUUUACAUUAGAAGUGCAGUAAAAUAUGUCAAUAUGUGAGCAGUUUACACUAUUGAAAAUUACAACACGUCCACAAUAACAUUUAGCCCAUCAUUUUGUAUCUACAUUAACAUUAGUAUUUUAAUACAUGCUAUUCAUAUUAUAUAAUAUCACAAGAAAUCAAUCUAAAUAUUAAAUAAAUGAUUAUUGACAAUAUAAAAAAUGCAAUACAUCAAUUUUAAAAAAAUUUACAUCACUUUAUAGUAUCUAAUAUGAAAAGAGUUAAGAACAAUAUUUCUUGAUUGAAGAAAUUGAUGUUCAAGAAGAUUACUAUACAUUAACAACACCAAAUUAUCAAAAUAAAGGUUUGCAUCAACGAAUGAGAGUAUUAUAAGAUCUAAAAGUUUUAUGUUGUAGAAGUCGUGAUACAUUAACAAAAAGUUUUUAGCACAAUGGCAUUUUCAUAUAUUUUAAGAGCAUAAUACAUAUAUCACUUUAUUGUGCUAAAUAGUGUCAAGAACAAUUUUUAACUAUUCCAAACCUUUGAGAACAUAAGUAUCGGAAUUUCAUUUUACCAUUUUUGUAAAUAGCAUUACAAUAUAUCCAUGAAAUGAUGCUAGUAUAUAAUAACUUUACGUUUCUGAAGAUUCCCAUACAUUAUCAAAAUAUUUAAGUGUAGCUCAUUAAAGUUUGCAUGAGAUACUACUCAGGUUGAAAAAUAUUCGUGUUAGCAUUGAAUUACUAAUGUUCGGCUGUAUAGAGUUGUUAAUUUAAAAGGGAGCAGUAGGGCAAUCAAAUCGGUAGACACUUGGUAAUGCUAUGUACUUUAUCACCAUUGAAAAGAUGCUUAAUAUGAGGUCUUAUAAUAAAGCCAAUAAAUUCUGAAUAUAUUAUUUAUAAUAAAAUAAGUAGUUUAAAUUCAAUAAUGUUUAUUAGGCUGGACAUGAAAAUUCAGGUCAACUGAGAUAUCCUCAUCCACAAGCAUCAUGACUCACAUGAUUGGAUUUGCAAUAGUGGCUCCCACGCUCAUCCACUCGUUCACACCAUGUGUAGACUCCGCAUGAUGUACCCUAAGUGUGACAUAAAAUCUAGUCAUGGUCACAAUCUGGUCAAGGUGUCUAACCUAUGACCUAUAAAUUAUUAUAUUAAUUAUUUAAUUAAAUAAAUUAAUAUAAUAUUUAUUUAUUUUUAAUUAUCAUUUAUAAUAUGAAAAAUAUUAUAAAAUAUUUUUUUAUUUUAAAAAUAUUUAUUUAAAAACAAAUAAAAAUAAAAAUUUAUAAAUAAAUAAAUGAAAUACUUUGUGUUAAGAUGUCACCUUGAUCAUUUGGAUGAAAUCAAGUGAAAGAAAGAUGUUGGUUAUACAUAUGAUGAAAUAAGUUAUAGUGAAUUAAAAGGUUUAAUUACAUUUCUAUAAUUGUCUUACAUUUAAAACAUAAAUAAUUUAAGCCAUCUAAAAUAAACACUAAAUUUGACUAUCACAAUAUUUAAUUUGUAUGAAGAUUGUGACAUGGCUCUUUUUUAAUUGUUGUCAUAGUAGCUUGAUUGUAUUAUGAGAUUUAUCCCUCAUCACGAUUGACUCCUUAGGGGGAACAUUUUUUCACCGAUAUUGUAACACUAAUCACCAUUACUAUUCUACAUAUAAUAUUUAGAUGUUUUUGACUUAACCUUCCACUAUGAAGAACUUACAUCAUUAAUAAUGUUGUAUGUAUACAUCUCUACACCAUGCAACGUAAUCUACAACAAAUAAAAUGAGCACAUUCAUUAUAAUAUUUAAAUAUCAGUGAUCAAUUAAAUUAGAUGAAAACUAACAAAAAAUUUAAAAACCUAGUUGUUACUCAAAUCUGUUAUGAAAAUUAACACUUUAUUAAGAAGAUUUGGGGCAAUUGUGCUAAUGUCUCAUGUUCUCCAUCUUUGAAAAUUAACAUUUCAUUCAUCAUGAUGAAAUUAAAAAGUCACUAAGUAAAAAUAAACCAACUUCUCAGUCAUUCGGUGAAUAAAAUGACAAAGAAGUAAAUGAUCAUCAAACUUAACCAACAUAUUAUGAAAGUAUAAUGAGAAAUGGUCAACACUGGAGUUGGGGCUGAGGACCCUCUGUGCGUAAAAGAGAGGGAGAGAGGAGAGAGAUAGAGAGGGAGAAGAGAGAGAGGGAGAGAGGGAGGAGAGAGAGAGAGAGAUAGAGAGAGAUAGAGAGAGAGAGAGAGAGAGAGAGAGAGAGAGAGAGAGAGAGGAGGAGGANNNNNNNNNNNNNNNNNNNNNNNNNNNNNNNNNNNNNNNNNNNNNNNNNNNNNNNNNNNNNNNNNNNNNNNNNNNNNNNNNNNNNNNNNNNNNNNNNNNNNNNNNNNNNNNNNNNNNNNNNNNNNNNNNNNNNNNNNNNNNNNNNNNNNNNNNNNNNNNNNNNNNNNNNNNNNNNNNNNNNNNNNNNNNNNNNNNNNNNNNAGAGAGAGAGAGAGGGAGGGAGCGAGCCCUAACGAGCGUGAGCUGGAGAGCCGGAGGCAAAAAGAGAGUGUGGACUAAGGAAGUGGUAAAUGAGCAGGAGAGAGGGAGAGGAGAGGAGGGAGAGGGAAGUUGCGAGUCCUAGUGAGCGCGAGGCGGAAAGCAGGAGUUAGGACUGGGGAGAGAGGAGAGAUGGAGACUGGGAGAGGAGAGGAGGGAGAGGAGAGCCAGUGAUGGGCUGGGCCUCCAAGUAAAGGUUAGGCCCGGUUCGCUCUGCUCUUUCUCUGUAGAGGGAGAGAGGAGAGAGGAGAGAUACUCCGGUCACGACCGGUCACCGAUCUGAAGACCGUGACCGGACCUUCGAUCCGGUCACGCCAUUUUUUCGCGACCGGCGGUCACGGUCCGGUCCCUAUGUUUAUGGGCUGGUAAAGAUUCUGAUCGUUGAUCCCUAUGUGGAGUUACGUUGGGCUGGUAAAGAUGCAUCGAGCAUGGGCAACUGGGCUGCAACUACGCCACUAAAAGAUGAAUUUAAAAAUUAUUUUAAAGCGGAUACCAGCAGCAACAAGAACAAAGCCCAGUGGGUGGGCGUGGUUGAUGGGGGCAUCAGCCACCUAAGCAUUGUCUUACUUCGUGAACUCCAUGAUCCAGAGGCCGAAGGCGGUGCUUACCGUCGCGAACCCCAAAAACCCCGCGCCCUUCGCCAGUGACUGGAAGUCCUUCUCGGUCCUCUCUUUGCCGCCGGAGUUGUAGGCGAGCAUGAUCAGAUCCCUCUGGAAAAGGCCUUGCGCCACCCUGGUCGUCUCCGCAGCUUCUGGCAGAAUACCCUCCAUAACAAUGACCUUUCCUAUCUCCGGCAGUGCCUUCCAGCAGUUCUUCAGAACCUUCAGGCACUUCUCGUCGCUCCAGUCGUGAAGGAUCCACUGCAAACCCAUUUUGGAGACAGAAAAGUGUGUUAAAUAGAGCAAAGAGUAAAGGAGAUUCGGAAAAGAGGAAGCAGGUAAAUCGGAGAGUCAAUUACUUUCAUGAAGAUGGCGUCCCCACUGGGAACGCUCUCGAACAUAUCACCGCCCACAUGCUCCACGCCUGCACCAAGAAAAAAACAUACUCGAUUAACAUCAACCCACCAUUCCUCCGUAGCCACAAGAAAUUAGCGGCUGUGAAUGGCCCCAGGAACUAGAUGCUGUGCUGGUUUUUGUCGUACCUGGGAAGGAGGGCGCACCGGCGAUGACGUGGGGGAGAUCGAAGUUGAUACCCUUGAUAGAUGGGUGCUUGGAUAUGAUCAUGUUGAGCGUCGCGCCGAUCCCACCGCCAACAUCCACCAGAACCCCAAUCCCGUCGAACCCCCGGUAAAUCUCCAGCAUUUUCUUCAUGGUGAUGGUGGAAUGGCUGGACAUGCCGGCGUUGAACACUUUGUUGAACCUGGGAUCGGUCCCGUGGUACUCGAACGCCGUCAUUCCGUAGGCCUUGUUGAAGGGGAUCCCACCCUGCAGAACCGAUUCCUUCAGGUAAUGCCAGCUCUCCAUGGGAACCUUGUCCUGGUUCAUGAGCACUAGGGCAGCCAUGGAGACGCCAUCCUCGUUCGGUGUGAGGAACCUUGAGACAGGGGCCAGGCCAUAGCGUCUCCGGACCUUUCCGCCAUCGCCGUGGACGACGGAGCAGGUGAGGAUCGAGUAACUGGCGAGGAGGCGGAGGAUACGGUCGACCAUGACGGCCGCCUCCGGGUUCUCGGUGGGAAGCUGGGCGACAAUCUCCUCGGGGAAGAGUUGGGCGGCGGAACCCGCCCGACUGAUGAUCUCGAGGAGGUUCAGCUCGAUUGCCGCCUUGAGAGUCAUCGGGAGAACGGACGCGCUGGCCAGCUGCAUGGCGUAGGUGCAGGCCUCGUGCUCCUCCUCCGGGAGAGUCAUCCUCGCCUCGUCGGGGACAGAUCCCAUGGCUAAGGGGUAGAAACUCGGUGAGGUGAGGCGUAGUAGAAUGCGGGGAGGAGGGCAACCUCUGAUGUGACAUCGAGGCUGCUAACGCCUCACUUUUUAUUGAGUUUCUGUACGGCUAGUCUACCUCCACCAACCUCCGCCAGACAUUUCGUCUCUCGAAAUAUCUCUCUUCGGGAGUGAGACCGUGCCAACGAUUGAACUACCUGCUGACCACAUUGCCAUAACAUGAGCCUUGAAACAGAAGAAUUUAUUGAUUAUUGAGUUAAUUUAGCUUAAGAUUUCAUACUUCGAUUAUUAGAGAACUUAUAAACUGGCCCUCAUACCUAUAAUUAAGGCAGCGAAUUAGAAGCUGAGUUUAAGGAUUAGUUACCUAAUUGUGAAAUCUCGUUGCCCCGGCUUGAGUUGGUUGGGACCCCCCCACUCCCAGUCUUGAGAACCCUUCCCCCUCCCUUCUGUUCCUUCUAUCCCCACUAACCAAUGCCCUCUACACUGCCACCACCUUCUAUCACCAAUCGCCUUCCGCUCGUCAUCUGUCACCACCAGCCCUCGCCUUUCCAUUGACCGUCGCUGCCCCUUUCCCACUGUCCUCACCUCUUUCCCUCUCCUUCUCAGCCGCUGCCUUCACCGUUGUUCACCACUGCUGCCGUUACCUCCCACCAGGCUGUUGUCGCCUAUUUCCACCUUCAUAACCAAUCGAGCCGUUCGACUAAAAUCGAACCGAGGCACCCGAUUCGAGCCAUUUUACCCUCUUGGUUUGAGCCGUUCAUCUGUCGAUCUGGUCAGUCAGUCAGUCAGUCAAUAGUAAAUGGUCAAUAAAAUGGUCAACAUGCAACUUUUUUUUUCAAGCCAAGUAUAUCUUCUGCACUUUUGUCAUUUCAUUUGUUCAUUUAAUAUAUUUUCUUACUACAGUCAUUUGAGAGAUCAUAAUAUAGUCACUAAUACAUAUUCAGUUGACUAUUACCUAUUGUAUUAAAUUUUUUCUGAUACAUAAAUAAACGAGUAUCCUACUUCAAGUGGUUUUCUUUAACUUCACGACACGAUCUUUUAUUCCCCCAUCAGUGCAUCUAUUUGUAUGUCCUUCCUUCUCUCUAUGGCAUUGGCAUUGUAGGUACCAAUUAAUUUACUUUUUACCAGGUUGAAGUGUAAUAUGUAGGGUCAAUGUUGCUGGUAUAAAUUAGGGUUGUUCUUAGUCAAUUGAGCUCCUGCAUCCUUCCCCCUUGAUCACAAGCGGAGCCAUCUUGGUUUCUGGAAUCCUUAUAAAAUGUAAAUAAAAGGUGACCUAACGAAUAGUAGACCUGGCCCAUCACAAAAAUAUUGGGAGGGGCCCAUUUUUAUAAGCAAUGGGUUCAAGUCAACCUAGGUUGUCCUCUUCUAGAUAAUCUCUAGAUUCCACUAUCAUAGCAUUAGUUUGUAAACACUUAACAGAAGAGUGUGAAGACAUCUUGACUUCACUAUGGCUUUAGGAGAGUAGGUAGACAUGCUUUACAAUUACAUCUAUGAGAUUGAGAACACCUGUUCAGAUACGCAUCCAACUUUUCCCCACCAAAUUCACAGCCCUCAAGGGUGAAGAACAUAAGCUUGUAACAUGCCUCACUACGUAUAGCUAAAGGGGAUUCAACAAUCUGCAUGUUACUACUAGUCCAAAAUUUUGCAUUCACAUCUCUUGAUGAAUCCCAUGAACGCCACUAGUUGUGGUACUCACCUACCAUUACAAAGAAAAGAGUGUUACAAAAUUGACAAUGUCCAAAGUUUCUUUUACUAUCAAGAAUAAAAUAUAAUUUUGAAAGUUGAAGCUUCAACUUGUCAAUAUAGUGACUUUUUAUUAAGAGAUGCAAUUGAAUAGAUUGAAAAUUAUUUUUUAAAUGGAAAUUUUUACUCAUUUAUUUUAUACUUUGGUGGUAAAAAAUGUGAGUACUCAUGUCUAUUGUAAUGUUUUACUAAAAGAUCCUAAUUAUAUAAAAAAAUAGAAUGAUGUAGUGUAUGCCAUGAAUAUACUCUAACCUUUGUGUGAGGGAAAUAUUGUGCAUGUUGACAUUUCAAGCAAAACUAGGAUGGUCUCAUGAGUUUCUCUACUUUAUCUUUUUAGGAUGGGUUUUUAAUGCUUUCAAUGCAAUUGAAAAGGAGUGUUGCAAUCUAGGAGGCUGAAAUUUUUAUGGAUCUUCAUUGUAACUAGAAAGAGAGAUGAUUUAUAGUGGUUUUGCUUUCUUGGCCUAUAGUAACUAAAUCUCUCUUCUCUAUGUUCUAAUAACCAUGGAUAGGAUGAAAUCCAACUAUUUAUCCAUAAAAGUAUUAAUAUGUUUGAAUCACUCUUAAAUUCACAACCCUAUGCAACCAAAAACUAGUAAUUUGAUUCUAGCCUUUUAUUACUUUGCAGCACAAGUUGUCACAUACUAUGUGAAGUCUAAUCUACUAUAUCUAAAAUAUUACUGAUGAUGUAUUAGGCUUGUCUAAAGCAAAAAGUUUAUUUAUAAGAAAGUGAUUUUGAUGAUAUGUCCCACUACUGUACAAAAUAAGUUGGUAUGCUAAAAAACCGAUAUUGAUGUACUCAAAACUUUAUAUAUGUUUAAAUAUUGGCCUUGAUGAGUUUUACAAUUUAGCAUUAGAAUGUAAUGUAUUGAAGAAUUGUUGUUAAUUUAUUAUGCUCUUUUAAAACAUUAACAUCUCAUUAUGCCAAAAAAAUUUCAGUUAAUGCAUUGUAACUUCUGCAACAUAAAUAUGUUAGGUGCUAUAAUACUCUCAUUAACUGAUGCAAACUUUUCUUAUGAUAAUUUUUUGUUUUUAAUGUUUAGUAAUCUUGUCUUACAUCAACUUCUAACAUCCAAAAAUUUUUUUGUUUACUUUUGUGAUAUUAUGUAAUAUUAUGUGUAAAGUUUUUUCACUAUUGAUAUACAAUACUUUUCAUAAUGUAAAACUUUCAUUUAUUGAAUAUUUACUUCGAUUUAUUGUGAUGGUCUAUAAGAUAAAUAUCAUAGACUGUAGUACUAAUAUUAAUACAGAAAAUUGUAUUUUCAUGUAUUUUGGAUAUUGUAAGAAAACAUCAAAUCAUAGAUUAGGUGGCAGCAGUAUUUUGAUUAUUAUAAAAAAAUAUUGGGUAUAUUACACAUUUAUUAUUGAUUUGAAGAAUUAAUUAAGGUGAAGAUCAUACCUAUUUCUACUUGAGCUAAAGGUGAUAUAUAAUUUGGAGAGCUAUAUUUGAAUAUUUUAUGUUAAAUAAUAGUGUGAAAUAUUUCAAUAGUUUAUAUUGAUUUAUGUCAAUCUAGAAUAAGUGAAAAUGAUAUAACUUUGGGCCUCAAUUAAGUUUAAAUUGAUUUUUUUAUUGGGUCUGAUUGAAAAGGUAUAAUCGAUCAGCUAGUUGACCUAUCCAAUAAUGUAUCAGCUUAAUUUUAUAUUCAAUUGCAUCUCUCGAUGGAAAGUUACCAAUUGACAGUUGACGCUUCCAUAUUUAACGUUAUAUUCCAUUCUGGAUGAAAUAUCUUGUUUGAACAUUGUCAAGUAUGUAACAGUCAUUUCUUUGCGAUCGUCGAUGACUACCACUAGGAGUCAGUGUUGGGCGUACAUGGGCUUUAAUAGACUUGUGAAUGUAGAACUGUGCACUAGUAGUAACUGGUGGAUUGUUGAAUCUCCUUGAAACAUGAAUCCUAGUUAGGCAGGUUACAGGCUUGUGUCGUUCACCCUUGAGGGCUGUGAAUUUUGUGGGGAAAAACUGGAUGCCUGUCUCAACAGAUUUGCUGUCAAUCUAGUAGAUGUUGUUUUAAAGCAUGUCUACCUGCUGUCCAAAAGCCAUAACGAAGUUGAGGGGGGUUGACACUAUUUUGCUUAAUGCUUAUAAACUAACGCUAAAAUAGUGGAAUCUAGAGAUUAUCUAGCAGAGGACAACUGGGUUCACUUGAACUCAGUGCUCAUAAAAAUGGGACCUUCCCAAGAUGUUUCUGAUGGGCGAGGCUCAUUACUUCUGGGGGUUACCUUUUAUUUACGUUUUAGAAAGAUUCCAGAAAAAACGAUCACUCCAGAAACUGUGUCAACGGCCGAGCCUCUCGACAGACAAUGAUCUAUGGAACAGCCUUGAUUCGGAUAUAUGAUCAGAAAUGGGGCUGCCUGACCUAAGGCCCCGAAUAGACUUUCUUAAGCAGUGGACGUAGAUUGAUACAAAGGCAAAGAGGGAGAGGAAAAGACGGAUAGAUGCGCUCUCUCUCGCUCUCCCCUUUCAAAAGUUAACUUAUAGGUUAAUUUAGUUUUCAGUUUGAUAACAGGUGGGAUAAGUUGAGUUCUAGUUUCGGAUUUUUGAGUCGAAUAAGUUACCGCGACUUCAUCACAAUCCUAAAGAUCCGUUAUUUCGGUACGCUCGAUAACUCAGUCUAUUCUAGUCCAAACGGGCUACUGCUCAAAUAUUUUAGUUAUUUUAUUCCAUGAGUCAAAGUGAAGGUAGGGAUGAUGGAACUAGCCGCCUAAGAUGGGAAUCUCCCCUCGGCUUUUCAAGUUGAGGGGUUUGGUGGACGAAGAACACGUGUGAAUUUGCUGGCGGGCGGCCAUCCUUUGGGCGGAAGAGUACUGAUGCCCAAUUAACAAGGCUCAUUUUCUGAUCCAGGCGACUCAUGAGCUCUAUUGACUAAGAAUAACCUCAGUUUAUACGAACAACGUCGACUCUAGAAGAUCAAGCUCCGUUGAUUGGGCAUCUGCAACGCAACAGAGAGAGACUGGGAGACAGAGACAGAUGGGAAGAGAUGGAUACCGAGUCAGCAGAUGUUUGGUGGAGUAUUUUAUUUUGGUUUUGGACACACCGCCCGGAAAAGUCGACCAAAGGCCACGGUUGGUGGAGUCAAGACUGGGUACAAAGAGACUCAAUAAAAACCGAGGUGUCUAAGCAGCCUCCAGAUCACAUCAGAGGUUGCCCUCCCCCCGUCCUACUACGCCUCACAGCCUUCACAGGAGAUCGUAAUUCUUGCCCCGUAGCCAUGGGAUCUGUCCCGGACGAGGCGAGGAUGACUCUCCCGGAGGAGGAGCACGAGGCCUGCACCUACGCCAUGAACCUGGCCAGCGCUUCCGUUCUCCCGAUGACUCUCAAGGCGGCAAUCGAGCUGAACCUCCUCGAGAUCAUCAGUCGGGCGGGUUCCGCCUCCCAACUCUUCCCCGAAGAGAUUGUCGCCCAGCUUCCCACCGAGAACCCGGAGGCGGCCGUCAUGGUCGACCGUAUCCUCCGCCUCCUCGCCAGUUACUCGAUCCUCACCUGCUCC